rnacentral:tRNA from 1 species
AAGGGGUUAGUCCAAACCAAGACCACUAGUUUCGACCUAGUAAAUUAUGAGUAAUCCAUAGCCCCUUU